CCUACGGGAGGCAGCAGUAGGGAAUCUUCCGCAAUGGACGAAAGUCUGACGGAGCAACGCCGCGUGAGCGAAGAAGGUCUUCGGAUCGUAAAGCUCUGUUGUCAGGGAAGAACAAGUACCGUUCGAACAGGGCGGUACCUGACGGUACCUACCAGAG
rnacentral:rRNA from 1 species